AGUAUGCUCGGAUUUUUCGCUUUGUCUCACCACGGGUUGUCAUCCUCUAUUUUUGCAUCGUCAUCGGACUCCGAAUCCCUUUCAUCAACCUUCAGCUUGCAGGUGCAGUGCUGAGCAUACCUAAGCCAAAAAGGUUGCAGCUAAACCGAAGACCGCUCCAAAUGUAAAGGGUGGCCAAGAUAUGUGGUCGACCGACCGUACCAAGAAAGCCAACUCUUUAACCAACCCAAAAAUAGCAAGAGGAAGUGGAAUACGUUAUUGAUUAUGUUGCCUCCAAGUAGGGCGGAAUGUUCAAUAUAAGACGGGAAACUAUGGAUCAAAUGAUGAUUCCCGGGAUUCAAGCAAGAAUUUGGCUUGCUAUGCAUUAAUCAAAAAAUAACUCAGCAGAAGGUCAAGGGCCUACGCGAAUUGAAUAAGAUUCUUGAAGCCAGGAAUGCCAUCACUUCGACCCCCAAUAAUGGCAAAAAAUCCUUGUAGUGGAUUCGGAUGAUAAUGCUAAUGACUCCGAUGUGGACCCUAGUGCCGAUAAAGAAGCAAGCUGAGCAUGGCUCCGACUUUAUCCGUUAGAAAUGGCAAGAAUGCUGCUGAAAUGGAUUCGGAGUCCGAUGACGAUGCAGAAAUGGAGAAUGACAAAUCAGUACAACCCCAGGAUGAAUACAAUUCAUAGUUGCGGUUGUAUGGGCGUGCGCACCUGCUUGAGCUGCGAACAGGACUUUCAGGUAGCAAAGAGCUGCCUCGGCGAAUCAGUGCUCUCUUUGAUGCCCUACGAAGUUCAACAACCGGGCAAGUACAACUUGGACUUGGUGGCCAGCUACGAAGAUGAACUAUUGGCGCCUCUACUGACAGAUGACCAAUUUGCAACUUUUGAGGAAAUGGUGCUGCGCAUACCUUUGCCAAACCUCUGCCUAAUAGUUUUGUAUGGACCAGGGUGAGCCAAGCUUUGGAGAUGGAGGGCAGGUCAUCGCUAUCUUCUGCCGUUUGACGAGCCCUAGCCUUGCGUCCACAUUGGAAUCACUAUCAUCAUCAUCCGAAUCCUCUACAACGAUUUUUUCCCCAUUAUUGGUGGUCAAUAUGUCGGCAAUCCUGGCCUUGACGAUCUUAGUCAAUUCGCGCAGCUCCUUAACAUCAACGUUCUUCUGAGUUACAUUUCGAUUAGUGCAUCGCAAGCCAGAUUCUUGCUUGGCUCUCAGGAAUCAUCCUUUGGCCCAUAGUUUUCCAUCUGAUCUUGAACAUUUCGCCCUCCUUGGUGGCUACAUGAUAAAUCAUUUUUCCACCUCCCUUUGCUUCUCUGAGUCGGUUGAAGCGUUGGCUUUCUUGGUGCCGGCGGUCGGUCGACCACGUACCUUGGCCAUCUUCACAUUUGGUGCGAUUUACAUAGCUGCAACGUUGCAAUUAUUCGAGUAUGAGGAGUUUUUGGCUAAGCUACUCUUAAACUUUCUAACCGAGCUGAAUCCCGAUAUUUCCAAUAUGGAACAAGGAGUUAAUAUAGGGUGGAGCUCAGCCCGGGCGAUGCGGUGAAUCCUCUUCUCUUAUCUAACUUUCUAUCUGUACAAAUGGAGCUUGGGUGAUCAGUCUUUUGGUGCAGAUCCAGCUGCCGGUGCAAUCGAUCCGUGUCUAUCCAUUAGAUUUUAAGGCAGCUGCGAUGGGAGCCACAGCGGGCGUAGACCUCCUCGAAGGAGCGGAUGAGCUCGUCCAUUCCGCGUAGCAGACCCUCCUCUCGGUUUCCAGGCGCCCAAGCACUUCGAUGGUCCACCCUCACAUGGGGUGGCAGCUCCCGGCACUUGGCGAAGUCAAUUAGCCAAACGCCAACGCGAUCGUCAUCGUAGACGAUAAAGAUGCUGGAGCCAAUGAUCUCGUGGCUGGCGAAGAAGGUCGACUGUUCGAUGACCAGGCGCAUGUGCUUUAGUCGCUUCAGCAGCUCCUUUUGCACGGAUCGCCGAGCAGCCAGAAACUGUUCGAUCGUCUGGGCAAUCUGCUCGCUGCUUCGGCACGUCUUCAAAUCCUUGACAGGCGGUCGUCCGCGCAGACGCAGUGCUUCGAUCCGGAAACCCUUGGAGUGGGAGGAGGACAGGGACUCCCGGAAUGUCAUGUACCGCAGCUUGGUGAUCGCUCGUGCCUCGUGCUCCGCAGGCGUGGGAGCUCCCGCAUCCACGGCGAUCAUCUUCUGGUAGAGGUCCGGUCUGAGCGUGGCAUUGCUGACCUCCGAUUCGAGAAAGGUGCGGCUGCCCAUCUUGAUGUCCAUCACACACGGAUCCCGAAAGCCAGCCAGCAGAUCCUGCAGCUCAAUAAAGUGCUGUGAUUGCAUCUCCUGUAUUCCAAAGUAGGCGGGCACUAUCUGAGCGGUCUGUGGUUCCUUGCAGAUCAGUCGGUAGGCAUGUACUUCGCUAUCCUCCAGUCCUGAGAUCCGUUUGCGCACUAUUCCAGUCGAUGUGGGAACAAUGCUGCAAAAUAAGAAUAAUAGUAGCAGUUAGUAAAUUGACUAAUAAAAUGUUUGUUUUC
rnacentral:sRNA from 1 species